rnacentral:lncRNA from 1 species
AGUUCUCUCGAUGUUGCCCAGGGAGCUGGGGGUGUUUGGAGCAGGGAAGGGACCCAGAAGGAAAGGGGGGGUGCUGUGGAGUGACCAGGAAGAAUGUGGGCUUUUUCUGUUUCCUGGGAGCUCUGGUGAGGUUUGUAGGUGAUGAGCUCCCCCUCUUUUCCGUCCAGGAGCUGCAGGAUCUGCCAAGAGAGGCUGGGGAGGUCCUGAGACCCUUCCCUGUCAGAGAAGAAGAGGCAGAGGGUGGCAAGGGCGUAAGCAUGGCUUUCUCACCCAUUCCCAGGGGACAGGAGGCAUCGGGAGAGUGUCCUGCGUGGGGGAACUGUCAGAGGGGAGGAUGACAUCGUGCCCCCUGCACCUCCAGCCCCCAAUAAUGUGAGGAUGCGCUAAGUUAGGGAAGUGAGGAAAAGGCCCCACUCCUCCUAGCAGAUUUCUGAACUGAGGUGAGGUCUGAACUGGUGGAAAGAUGAAAUUUUGAUUUCAGUCUAGCUGGAAUUUAUUUUAAAAAUCUGCAAAGGAUGCUGUUCUAAAGCUGAAAAGUGACUGGAAAAGCUCUGAGAUGCACCUGGGGUGUUGUCUAGAAGUGGGGAAGGAAGCUCUGGCACAGAAGUUCGGGAAGUGUGGGGAGACAGAAAUUCAUUUCCCCCCAUUCAGAGGGCCAGGCGCAAGUUUCUGCUGAACACUCUCCCGUCUCUUCCAACCUACACCUACAGCCCUGCAUCUUCUCACUGAAAACAUUUCCAUCUUCUGGGUCAACAGCCGCACUUUUUGUGGUGUGUAGAAACGAGAUACAGGGGCCCCCAACACCCAGUGUGUUGGGUGCUGUACAGGAGUGAGCGUUGGCGGCAGCCGGGGCUCGGCUCACCGCCUCAGGGUACUGUGUGUACACAGGAGUCAGGAGUAAGUCACUUUCCCAGCCCGUGAGGCAUCAUUUUAGAGCUGGUUUCUCUACUGUACCAAUGUCCCUGUUCUGCCUGGCCUUUGUCUGCAGCCCUGCUCCCUUCCCUGGCUGUCACCAUUCCAGGAGCUGCCCUCCUGUGCUCUGCACUGCUCCCAUCCACCUGUCCCCGCCCCAGACUGUGGGUGGGAGCCCGACCUGCACUCUGGCUGUGCUGGAACAAAGCGUCAGGGCUUGGUCACCAUCAGCCGCUGACCACGGUCUGCUCGGGCUGCUGGGAGACCAGGCUGUGCUGGGGAGUUCCCGGGGAUCCUGGCGCCUGCCAGGAACCUGAGCUAGGUAGGUGGGAAGUAGUUGUGAGCAAGACUUACGGCCUCACGGUGAUGGGAACAGGAAGGUUCAGCUGCCAGAUGCACACAGAGUAGUCAGCAGCGCGGCCCUGGGCUCUCAGGCUUGGGGUGAAACCCUGAUCUCCCCAUUUCCAGCCACGUGGCCUUGCUCACCUCUCCAGCCUGGGUCUAUCUGUGGAAUGGGAUGCGGUGGUGCCGACGCCACGGGGCUGUUAUAAAAAUGCUCGUUUCAGCUUGGAACUUACACCGGCCCUCCCCGUGCUCCCUGAGUGGCUGCUGUGCUGGGCCUGAGGGCUGCUUGCUCCUUCCCUCACUGUUCCCAAGCUGUCGGCUGCCCUCUGAGGUCUUCAUUUGGGGGCGGUUGUACUGAGACGUCUGCGGACUCAGGCUCCGCGAGGGUGCGUUCUCCUGGGGUCUCAGCUCCUUGGUCUGACGGUGAGUCUUUCAGAGGCUGAAGGGUGACGGGCUCCACAAACACCUCCCCACACUGCUCAUCCCGCAGGCUUUGCCACUCGGUUCAUGGAGAGGAGCCUGGGGGGAGCCAGGAUUCCCGUAGCUCCCAGCCUGAGAGGAGGGUGCCGGCCCGCCGCACCUUCAGCUGGGGCCUGUUUCUGUGUGUCAAGGCCGCCAGGAAAGCGAUGCUUCCUGUUGGAGAGAUUGAGUGUGGAUCUGAAAGUUCCCUCACCUUGGGUUCACUUGUUAGCACGGCUCCUGACCCAGCUGUCUGCUGCCUGUCUGAGGACAAUGGAAACCUGCUGUCUUUCAGAGUGAAAUUCUUAUUGACAUUCAAAGAGUAAACAUCUACCAAGAUACAUUUGCUUAUUUUGUCUUCUUCCUGGUGAGUUGGAAAUACCUGGAUUUUUGCCAUAAUAAAGGCAUUUCUCAAUGACAGACACUGUACCAUCACUACAUAGCAAGUUUUAACCCCCACACUGAGGAGUAAAAUCUCCAGCAUCCGCCUCUCUGGGGUUGGCUCUCAGGCAGUGGUAAUUAUCAGGAUUUUAUCCUAGAAAACAAGGCAAGUCUAACACACCGUUUCUCAAUUAAGUUUCCUGAAAACCAAUUUAUUCUAUUUGAGUAAAUUAUAUAUUUGAUACUGAAAUUACAGAAACAUUUUACUGUUUCACUAGCGUACACUCACGGGUGCUUUGCAG